rnacentral:rRNA from 1 species
GAUGAACGCUGGCGGCAUGCCUUACACAUGCAAGUCGAACGGUAACAGGUCUUCGGAUGCUGACGAGUGGCGAACGGGUGAGUAAUGUAUCGGAACGUGCCCAGUUGUGGGGGAUAACUACUCGAAAGAGUGGCUAAUACCGCAUACGACCUGAGGGUGAAAGCGGGGGAUCGCAAGACCUCGCGCAAUUGGAGCGGCCGAUAUCAGAUUAGGUAGUUGGUGGGGUAAAGGCACACCAAGCCGACGAUCUGUAGCUGGUCUGAGAGGACGACCCGCCACCCUGGGACUGCGACACGGCCCAGACUCCUACGGGAGGCAGCAGUGGGGAAUUUUGGACAAUGGGCGCAAGCCUGAUCCAGCCAUGCCGCGUGCGGGAAGAAGGCCUUCGGGUUGUAAACCGCUUUUGUCAGGGAAGAAAAGGCUCCUUCUAAUACAGGGGGCUCAUGACGGUACCUGAAGAAUAAGCACCGGCUAACUACGUGCCAGCCGCCGCAGUAAGAC